rnacentral:rRNA from 1 species
AACGAACGCUGGCGGCAGGCUUAACACAUGCAAGUCGAACGCCCCGCAAGGGGAGUGGCAGACGGGUGAGUAACGCGUGGGAACAUACCCUUUCCUGCGGAAUAGCUCUGGGCAACUGGAAUUAAUACCGCAUACGCCCUACGGGGGAAAGAUUUAUCGGGGAAUGAUUGGCCCGCGUUGGAUUAGCUAGUUGGUGGGGUAAAGGCCUACCAAGGCGACGAUCCAUAGCUGGGCUGAGAGGAUGAUCAGCCACAUUGGGACUGAGACACGGCCCAAACUCCUACGGGAGGCAGCAGUGGGGAAUAUUGGACAAUGGGCGCAAGCCUGACCAGCCAUGCCGCGUGAGUGAUGAAGGCCUUAGGGUUGUAAAGCUCUUUCACCGAUGAAGAUAAUGACGGUAGUCGGAGAAGAAGCCCCGGCUAACCUCGUGCCAGCCGCCGCCGUAAUAC